CGGUGAAUUACCGGUUCCCGGGCCUUGUACACACCGCCGUCACACCACGAAAGUCGGCAACACCCGAAGCCGGUGGCCCAACCCUUUUGGGGGGGAGCCGUCGAAGGUGGGGUUGGCGAUUGGGGUG
rnacentral:rRNA from 1 species